rnacentral:rRNA from 1 species
UGGGCAACCUGCCCCUCUCUCUGGGAUAACCCCGGGAAACCGGAGCUAAUACCGGAUACUCCGGCUGGAUCGCAUGGUCCGGCCGGGAAAGCUCCGACGGUCUGGGAUGGGCCCGCGGCCUAUCAGCUAGUUGGUGUGGGUAAUGGCCCACCAAGGCGACGACGGGUAGCCGGCCUGAGAGGGUGACCGGCCACACUGGGACUGAGACACGGCCCAGACUCCUACGGGAGGCA